rnacentral:lncRNA from 1 species
AUGUCAAAGGAACCAUCUGAUAACAGUCUUCAUGCCAAACCUAACAGCUUUAUUGAAACAAGAAACUUUCACAUUAAAUUUCCAUGUGUUUUCUCUCCACACUCCUUAACUUCACUGCCCACCCUCCCUGUGCGUGUGUUUUCUUUUUUUUUUUUUUCUCCUCCAAAGAUAAGGCCUCUCUGCUUCAAAAACCAGAGAGAAACUGUUACAGAGGGCCAGCUGGGAUGUAGUCAAAUUAGUGGAUUAUUAUUACCUUGGGGACGUUGGAAAUCAGUUGAGGAUGGUCUUACUUCUCCAUGUUCUGAAACCAUUUUAAACCAAAACAAAAAACAGACAACCUUGCAGGAAACUCAGAGUAAAUAAAUAGUCCUUGUCUGUUAAGUGAAAUUGUUCCUUAAGGUGGAGAGACUGAGACAGGAUCCGCCAGAAGAUUACACACUAUGUACAUUAAUAGCAAAAUCAGCUAGAAGAUUGAGAGUUUCUACCAUUAGGAAACAUACACAAAUACCAUCACACCCAGAAAAACCCAUCGAAGCUGUUUUGUCAAAAGUGUGCCUGAGAGGUAGGGGCUGGAAAAGAUAAAUGCAAACUGAAUCUGGGGGACAUCUCCUCCUGAAGAGGAGAAAAAAAAAAGUUGUGCACAGGAAUGUUCCUUUUUAAAAAGAAACCCCUUCGGAGGCACAGAACUUGCCUGCCCGCUCUGAAGAAACAAGGUGGAUUAUUUCAGCUCUCUGGGGCUUGGAACGUGUGUGUGCAAGAGCACCCUGAUAGCUGCAAUAAUAAACAUGUCCAGCUGCAAGAGCUCUGCCUAACA